GGGAGUGGCAGGUCCAAUGGGGCAGAAGGGAGGCUCCGGGAAAAGAGGCAAGAUGGGGACCUUGGGAAAGAAGGGGUUCGCUGGGUCAGCUGGACCAAAAGGUCGACCAGGACAUACUGGCCCCCCAGGAGAAGAGGGAGACAUAGGACCCGAUGGGCCAAAGGGAUUGGACCAGGGCCCAGGACAAAAAGGGAGUAAGGGACUUCCUGGAAAGCC